rnacentral:rRNA from 1 species
GUGGGGAAUAUUCCGCAAUGGACGAAAGUCUGACGGAGCAACGCCGCGUGAGUGAUGAAGGUUUUCGGACUGUAAAGCUCUGUUGUUUAGGACGAAAGUGCCUGUUGCAAAUAGUUACAGGUAUUGACGGUACUGAACGAGGAAGCCACGGCUAACUACGUGCCAGCAGCCGCGGUAAUACGUAGGUGGCAAGCGUUGUCCGGAAUUAUUGGGCGUAAAGAGCAUGUAGGAGGGAAUCUAAGUCUGUUGUGAAAAUGCGGGGCUCAACCCCGUAUUGCGAUGGAAACUGGGUUUCUUGAGUGCAGGAGAGGAAAGGGGAAUUCCCAGUGUAGCGGUGAAAUGCGUAGAUAUUGGGAGGAACACCAGUGGCGAAGGCGCCUUUCUGGACUGUGUCUGACGCUGAGAUGCGAAAGCCAGGGUAGCGAACGGGAUUAGAUACCCUGGUAGUCC